rnacentral:rRNA from 1 species
GAUGAACGCUGGCGGCGUGCUUAACACAUGCAAGUCGAGCGAUGAAGUUUCCUUCGGGAAACGGAUUAGCGGCGGACGGGUGAGUAACACGUGGGUAACCUGCCUCAUAGAGUGGAAUAGCCUUCCGAAAGGAAGAUUAAUACCGCAUAAUGUUGAAAGAUGGCAUUAUCAUUCAACCAAAGGAGCAAUCCGCUAUGAGAUGGACCCGCGGCGCAUUAGCUAGUUGGUGGGGUAACGGCCUACCAAGGCGACGAUGCGUAGCCGACCUGAGAGGGUGAUCGGCCACAUUGGGACUGAGACACGGCCCAGACUCCUACGGGAGGCAGCAGUGGGGAAUAUUGCACAAUGGGGGAAACCCUGAUGCAGCAACGCCGCGUGAGUGAUGAAGGUUUUCGGAUCGUAAAGCUCUGUCUUUGGGGAAGAUAAUGACGGUACCCAAGGAGGAAGCCACGGCUAACUACGUGCCAGCAGCCGCGGUAAUACGUAGGUGGCGAGCGUUAUCCGGAUUUACUGGGCGUAAAGGGAGCGUAGGCGGAUGAUUAAGUGGGAUGUGAAAUACCCGGGCUCAACUUGGGUGCUGCAUUCCAAACUGGUUAUCUAGAGUGCAGGAGAGGAGAGUGGAAUUCCUAGUGUAGCGGUGAAAUGCGUAGAGAUUAGGAAGAACACCAGUGGCGAAGGCGACUCUCUGGACUGUAACUGACGCUGAGGCUCGAAAGCGUGGGGAGCAAACAGGAUUAGAUACCCUGGUAGUCCACGCCGUAAACGAUGGAUACUAGGUGUGGGGGUUUCAACACCUCCGUGCCGCCGCUAACGCAUUAAGUAUUCCGCCUGGGGAGUACGGUCGCAAGAUUAAAACUCAAAGGAAUUGACGGGGACCCGCACAAGUAGCGGAGCAUGUGGUUUAAUUCGAAGCAACGCGAAGAACCUUACCUACACUUGACAUCCCUUGCAUUACUCUUAAUCGAGGAAAUCCCUUCGGGGACAAGGUGACAGGUGGUGCAUGGUUGUCGUCAGCUCGUGUCGUGAGAUGUUGGGUUAAGUCCCGCAACGAGCGCAACCCUUGUCGUUAGUUACUACCAUUAAGUUGAGGACUCUAGCGAGACUGCCUGGGUUAACCAGGAGGAAGGUGGGGAUGACGUCAAAUCACCAUGCCCCUUAUGUGUAGGGCUACACACGUGCUACAAUGGCUGGUACAGAGAGAUGCAAUACCGUGAGGUGGAGCCAAACUUUAAAACCAGUCUCAGUUCGGAUUGUAGGCUGAAACUCGCCUACAUGAAGCUGGAGUUACUAGUAAUCGCGAAUCAGAAUGUCGCGGUGAAUACGUUCCCGGGUCU